UGAUAGAGGUGCGGGCUUCAUCAGUACCACAGGAAAUACAGCCGGACUGCUGCUGUGGGAAAGGGGAGACUGCCGAAGGGGCGGCUGCCGGUCCGAAUGCAGCGGCUUCUGGGACGACGCAGAAUAUGCGGCGUACUGUCACGUAGAGUGGAGCGCUAUCUG
rnacentral:ncRNA from 1 species